rnacentral:lncRNA from 1 species
AAUUUCUUUCUUUAAUACGGUUCCCAAUUCAAAAUCUGAAACCUAUCGCCGGAGCCUCCGUUUUCACUGAAAUUUGACAAUCAGGCUCGAUUUCACCUAUUGAGAAGAAAUAUAUCUUAACUUUUCAGUUUGGACCAUGUUUGGUCACCGAAAGCUCUACCGAACUGUAAUCUCUAGCAGAUAGCAAUCGGAUUUUAUUUUUCACCUUCCGGGUGUCAGAAUAAUAUGAAACUUUAAAUCUAGCCUCAUAAAAGUAAUUCUGACAUAUUCUCCAGUUUUCAUAAUUUUCUGACACUGUGUAUUUUCUGCUAAAAUAUCAGCCCCGUUUCUCACAGAAAAUUCUAAAUCUUCUGUUUGCGUUCCUUUCAACACGAGUCGCUUCCGACUUAUAUUUUACUUCUCUAAAUCCUAUAAAAAUAGUAUUUUACACUAUUUUUAUUUACAUCUAUUUUUAAAUUAAAAAUCCGGUAUAUUACAGUAAUCCUAAUUGUAUUGUUACUAUAGUAGGCAUCGUUAGUAUUAGGCUUAUCUCUUGUAUUAUAUAAUUUCAUUAAUAGAAGUUAAGAGGGUAUGCUCUUUUGCCCUACUUUCACUCUCUCUCUCUAUGCUGCUACUUACCGCA